CGGAGGGUGCAAGCGUUAUCCGGAUUCACUGGGUUUAAAGGGUGCGUAGGUGGGUUGGUAAGUCAGUGGUGAAAUCUCCGAGCUUAACUUGGAAACUGCCAUUGAUACUAUUAAUCUUGAAUAUUGUGGAGGUCAGCGGAAUAUGUCAUGUAGCGGUGAAAUGCUUAGAGAUGACAUAGAACACCAAUUGCGAAGGCAGCUGGCUACACAUAUAUUGACACUGAGGCACGAAAGCGUGGGGAUCAGACAGGAUUAGAUACCCUGGUAGUCCACGCCCUAAGCUAUGGAUACUCGACAUACGCGAUACACAGUGUGUGUCUGAGCGAAAGCAUUAAGUAUCCCACCUGGGAAGUACGAUCGCAAGAUUG
rnacentral:rRNA from 1 species